rnacentral:rRNA from 1 species
UACGGAGGAUCCAAGCGUUAUCCGGAUUUAUUGGGUUUAAAGGGUGCGUAGGUGGCUUAUUAAGUCAGGGGUGAAAGACGGUAGCUUAACUAUCGCAGUGCCUUUGAUACUGAUGAGCUUGAAUGAACUAGAGGUAGGCGGAAUGUGACAAGUAGCGGUGAAAUGCAUAGAUAUGUCGCAGAACACCAAUUGCGAAGGCAGCUUACUAGGGUGAGAUUGACACUGAGGCACGAAAGCGUGGGGAUCAAACAGG